UGCCGGGCCGCGGGGCUGGCGCGGCUGGCCGCGGUGCUCCUGGUGACUGUGAGCAGAGCCCAGGUGCAGCAGGAGCCGUCGGCAGAGACCAGCGAGGGCACCGAAAUCAACAUCACCUGCUCACAUCCCAGCAUGCAGGCCGAUAACAUCCACUGGUACCGUCAGCUCCCGGGCCGAGGACCCGCAUUCCUCGUCAGCGCCGUUAAAGGCUCCAAGCAGGUGCCGGACCCGGAGGGGAGGCUGUGGGUGUCGGCAGACCGCCGCUCCAGCGCCCUGUUGCUCGCCCGGCCCCGGCUCGGCGACGCGGCGGUGUAUUACUGCGCCGUGAACCCACGGGAAGCGAAGCCGGGGCUGCGGCCGGGCACGAACCGCUUAGGGCGGGUCGGGAGCGCAGUGCCGUCCGGGCCUGCAGGGGGCGCUGCCGCUCCUCCCUCCCGGCCCCGCCCGAGCUGACAUUGCUGACAUGGAGCACUGCUCGGCAUCCUCCGGGAGAAAGGCGUUCCAGCUGCACACCCUCAUGAGCUCGGCAUGUCGAGGUCCCAGACACAUUUAAGUGGUCCUACAUUAGCUCUGUUUUCAGACUAUGAGACUGUGUGACAGGAUUCAGUGCCUCUGGAGGUGGGGUGUAGAUUCAGCAAUGGCCUCUAUAAGCUGUGUUGGCUGUGAGGGCUACUGGCUCAUGAGGGCUAUGAAUCAAGUCCGUUCUCAUUUGAAAUGGAAUUAUAAAUAAAAGGGAGAGUGAUAAACAAAGCAAGGAAUGCCCCAGUCUGUAAGCAAAAAGGAAGACAAGGAGGGAGAUGAGAACUCUUCAGCUCCUAAAUGAUGGGCCAUUAGAGAAAUGCAGCUGUCAGAUUUGAAGUGAGUGAUCCUGAGCUUUGUAAGUGACAAGUGACAAGAAGGAAAGAAAGAUGAGGAAUGCUCACGAGGGGCCUAUGGUAUCUGUGCCAAAUUUUAAGGGAAUACUUAUGGAAAGGGUCAAAGGUGUGGGAGAAGUGGCAGUGAGAGAAGAAAGAGGAUGCACUGCAGAGGAGGGAGGAUGAAAAGUCCCAUGCUGUACACUUGCUGGGAAGAGCCCUGUGCCUGACCAACACAUCAAAUUCUGUCUUAUUAUUAAGUCCUGACUUGUUUGUGUAACAGUGAAACUGUGCUGUCUUUCUCAUGUGGGAGCACCCCAAGGUGUAGGCCAGUAGAAGAAGAGACUGGUGUGCAAGAGAGAUCUGGGUGCCAGCAACCAAAACAACAUGCACAGCACAUCAGGAUUAAACCAGUGACUGGGAGGAAAGAGUAUUCAAGUGUGGGAGAGAGGUGGGUAAGGAAACAUAAAGCCUGAUAGUGAAGGUUAGGCAGGCUGAGAUCCCAUGGUAUUAUCUGAGGGAUCAGCAGGAGUGUGGGGAUGUGUGUGAGAGGAGUGGGUGACUGCAUGCACCUGUUGGCCAGCAAACAGCAGGCCUGGGACCAGGCCAGAGCUACUAUUUAUGAUUACAUUGGGCUUUGGUGGGCUUGGUUCUGAUGCUCUUUGUCUUGUGAUUCCACCUGAACCAGCACUGCCUGAUACAACAGCUGGCCUGAGGAGAGGAAGGGCCAUCCUGAUAUCAUGUAGAAAUGAUUCUCUCAUGCUGUGCUGCUGGCAUCACACAGAAUCUGUGUGAAAGAAAAGCACUCACAAAAUAGAUCCCCAGGUUGUGCUGAAUUGUGAAGUUACAGGUGUGAGUGUGUAGGGAGAAGAGAUACUGCAUGGAAUACAAGAGCUAUUUGAGCUCCAGGGCUCAGGGAGUAUGAAAGAAUCUUGGUACCUGGGGAAAGACACUCCAGCGUGAGUCCUGUGUUUGGGCUGGUGCAUCACCUGCAUGAAGUAUAAAGAUCUGGGGAAGUAUAAAGAUCUUGUUAAGUGCAGAAACAUCUCACUCUCACUGUCAUGCCCCAGUGGAGUUGGAAAUAUCUAUGCUGACACAUUGUCUUCAGUGGAGAAGUGUAGGGUUGGGGAACUUUGAGAGUCUUCCAGAUCCUGAGCCUGAGGAGAACAGUUCCGUGCUUGGGGAAGACAUGACAACGAGAAGCCGUGAGUGUUUGGGCAUGAGUCACUAUCCUGGGCCUUGCUGCAGCCAUGAGAGUGUUGAGUUCAGAGGGGCUGGGGGCUCCAAUAUGUGGCCUCUUGUAGCUGAUAGCAAUGCUGACCUGUGGAAGCCCUCAACCAUAGGCAAGUUGGCAAAUUAACAACAGGGCCAAGAGCUCUGCAGAAGGCUGCUAGGACCACACAGAAAAGCUGUACCCUCGGUGAUGGGUGAAUGGAAGGGAUGGGAAAGUCGAAUAGAGACAGAGGGCCAACCCCAAGGAAACUAUGCCUUCCCAGUUCUUGAUAGCCUUUGAGAACAACUUUCUCUGAGUCUCCUUCCCCAGCUCUGCUCUUUGCAAAGCCAGAGGAAUAGAUUUCCCCAGAGUGUGUGGGAAUUCUGUCUUCACUGGGCCUCUCCAUUGCAGAGAGAUCCUCUCCUGUGGAUGUUGUUUUUGGAGAUCUCCAUUCACUUGACAUGCUCGGUGUUCAAGGAGACCUGUGUAAGGAGAAACACAGCAAGGCAGGGACUGAUGGUCCUUGGUGGUGGAGGAACAUUUAGCAAUGUCUUCCUCUCCUUCAAGAGAGUGUGCUUGAAAAAAUGACGAUCUGCACUGUACACUUACCUCCAAAAUCCAGAGGACUGAUGGAAUCUCCCUAGCUCGUUCCCAUCAAAGACAUCCCUUUCCUACUUGGCAUUCUCUACGUUUAUGAGAAAAAGAAAGAAAAAACAAACAAACAACAACAACAACAACAAACCACUAACAGAGAAGGAAAUGCUAAGGGAUGCAGAAGUGUUUAAUGAGUUUGACAAGAGAAAUGAUGCCACGUCAAGCAGAGGCCCUGUGUGUGGUGAGCAACAGGAGCAGACAAG